rnacentral:rRNA from 1 species
GACGAACGCUGGCGGCGUGCUUAACACAUGCAAGUCGAACGGCAAGGCCCUGCUUUCGUGGGGUGCUCGAGUGGCGAUCGGGUGAGUAACACGUGAGUAACCUGCUCUUGACUUUGGGAUAACUUCAGGAAACUGGGGCUACUACCGUAUAGGAGAUCCUGCUGCAUGGAGGGGGUUGGAAAGUUUCGGCGGUUGGGGAUGGACUCGCGGCUUAUCAGCUUGUUGGUGGGGUAGUGGCUUACCAAGGCUUUGACGGGUCGCCGGCCUGAGUGGGUGACCGGCCACAUUGGGACUGAGAGACGGCCCAGACGCCUACGGGAGGCAGCAGUGGGGAAUAUUGCACAAUGGGCGGAAGCCUGAUGCAGCAACGCCGCGUGCGGGAUGACGGCCUUCGGGUUGUAAACCGCUUUCGCCUGUGACGAAGCGUGAGUGACGGUAAUGGGUAGAGAAGCACCGGCUAACUACGUG